AAACGUUCCACCAACACUCAGGGCCACUGAGGACCAAGAGGGUGUCCUAGGCACCUCCCUGGCAGCAGGUCUCUGUCUGCCCCUCGUAAAAGGGUCCUCUCCUGCUUUCCUGGAUUCUCCUGCCCAGAGAGAACAACGAAUUGACUUUGCCUGUUGCUGAAGAUUCUCAUCUCCUUAAUGCAUUGCAGAUAUGUUUAAUGGACGCAAGCUGUCAUGGUCUGGCGGUAACCAGUACCAGCCAAAAAUAUUUCCCCAUGGGACUGGGUCAUCAGAUUCCAGCUCUGUUCUCACAGUGAAAAAUAUGAAAAGGCUGGAAACGGAGUACACUGCUUCUAAAGAGGCCUUCACUAAGCAGAGAAUACAAGAUUAUAUUAAGCAGACUAAUCUCGCAUGCUUGAACAAAGAGUCAGCUAGGAAAACCAGCACAGAGGUUGUCUGGGAUGCAGAGUCUGAAGGAGCCUCCUCGUCUUUCUCUGCAGAACAGAGGGAAGAAGUCUCCUGGAAGACCUAUGGAGACUUUUCAAAGAAAAAUAAGCUGCUAGCAGCAUCAGCUGCAGAUCCCCCCUCAGCGCAGCCCACUGGCUUCAAGCCGAAGGAAUCCAAGUAAGGAGAGUAAUUGGUAACAUUUUUCUAUAUAAUUCAGUCAUGUUAGGCUGUAUUUAUGCCAUACGUGGGCGAGCAGCAGGAACACCUAACAACUGGAGAUUUACAGUAUGCCUGAGACAUCCACAGCCUGUCAGCUGCCACUGUGCCCUUGCUAUUAAUAAACUGGAAGGAAUGUCUGUCUAAGCGGUUGUCUUUGGGACCCUCAACAUUUUCUACAUUAAAAGAGAUGCUGCUGGCCUCUGCAGAGGGCAUUUUUAUUAUUUUCUGUUGCUGUUAGUCAGAUGCAGCAUCUUUCGAGGCUGCUGCGAUGUAUGAUUUUUAUUCUGCAGGCUGCUGUUCCAGCUGUAGGGGAAAGGGA